rnacentral:rRNA from 1 species
GAUGAACGCUAGCUGGAGGCUUAAUACAUGCAAGUCGAGCGGGAUUCAGUUGUCUUCGGAUGAUUGAUGAGAGCGGCGGACGGGUGAGUAACGCGUACACGACCUACCUUUGACAGGGGGAUAGCCCUGGGAAACUGGGAUUAAUACCGCAUAUUAUUCUGAUUAAUAAAGGAUUGGAAUGAAAGUUCAGGCGGUCAAAGAUGGGUGUGCGUCUGAUUAGCUAGUUGGUAGGGUAACGGCCUACCAAGGCGAUGAUCAGUAGGGGGCGUGAGAGCGUGAUCCCCCACACGGGUACUGAGACACGGACCCGACUCCUACGGGAGGCAGCAGUAAGGAAUAUUGGACAAUGGCCGCAAGGCUGAUCCAGCCAUCCAGCGUGCAGGAAGACGGCCCUACGGGUUGUAAACUGCUUUUGUCAGGGAAGAAACCUCUGGAUUUACUCCGGAGCUGACGGUACCUGAAGAAUAAGCACCGGCUAACUCCGUGCCAGCAGCCGACGG